rnacentral:lncRNA from 1 species
UUCCCAGGCAAGUCUUCCGUGAUGUCCACAAUGACUGUCCAACCCACUAACAUGCCCCAGCCUGGGAGCGAUGCCCCCGCUGUGCCACAUGAACACCUCCCGUGGUGUUCCUCACACUCUGUCACAAUCACCUGGCUGUCUCCCUGAGCAGUGUAUAAGCUCCGUGAAGGUGGAGGCUGGGUCACAGUCACCACUGUCCCCAGAACUGGCGGCUGUGGUUGGAACGGUGGCUGUGGUGACUGGUCCCAUUCAGGCUGCCUGGAGAUGUGCACCGAGUCAAGCUGAGUCCACAUGAAGAUGGGUGCUGGGAGGUCCUGAUGAGUAAAACAAAGGGCUAUCAGGAACUGGGACCAGAUGUCUGCCCCAACCAGAGACCAGCCACCUCCCCCACCUGGAGACUGGCCCUCAAAUACCUUCCUGGCCUCGCUGGCUUCACCCAAGUCCCAGCCUUCCAGGGAUGGAGCUGUUUGCAAAACCACCCAGGCUCAUCAAGGCCUCCAGUUCAGAAACCAUCCAGGGUCGCAGUGCUUCCUAUGAGUGAAAAUCAACUCCCAGGCCACCAGCCACUCAGAUCCCCAGCCUCUGCUGGCCAGCAGAGCAGGCAGAAUGUGGCCUCAAUACUAACAGGACUGAAGACGGAAAUUCAGCUGGAGAACAUCACGGCUGGAGAUGGCUCCUGCUGGGAGAGGGAAUGUGACAGAUGGCGUAAGAUAUAACAGUAAUCUUAGUGACAACGCACUAAGCGUCUCCCAGAAGAAGUUCAAGAUCGAUUCAUCUGCUUCCCAGCAGAAGCGAGUCUAACAGGCAGUGAAGCGUAAUCUUGAUAAUGUGACUGGCUGCUCCAAAAGGAGAAGGAAUUAACCAGGCUACCCUAAAUGUGUUUGCAUGACAUUCUUUUUUCUUUCUGUUACCUCAAGAAGAAUUUAAAAUCCCAUUUGUAUGGAAAUAAACUAAGCUCUGGAGUUCCCCUCCUGCUCUGGGGUGUCACCCCAGGAGGCCUGUGCAGACCUCCUCUGUGGCUACAUGGCUUCUCGGGCUUGGGCGCUGCAGCUGUAGUUUUUGUUGUCAAAGAAUAAAACACACUCUUGUCCCAACUGUGGAUUCUUUAGGGGCUGUGUCCAUUAAGGUUCUUUGACGGCAAACAAAGAAAACUGACUCUAGAUAGAGCAGCCCACUAUCCUUCCAAAAAGUUCUUUUUCCAUUGGAAUUAGUGGAAGAAGCAGCUGAGCAGGAGCACCAGGGAGCGGGAGUCCUGCGGUCUGCUGGGCGGCCUGGAAGGGCUGGGUGCAGGGCAGGCAAUGGGCGACAGCCUGGUCAGAGUCCAUUCAUUCCAACACCAGGCCCCGACUGAGGUUUGCAUUCUAGGACUACUUCACUCAAGAUUCAAAGUCCCAAGGAAGCGAGUUCAAUUGUCCACAUUUGGGUCACGUGCCCUCACCAGAUUGACACUCCCAAGAUUGUCCUCAGUGAGUGAGAAGAGGUUCCCAACAGAGAUACAAAGGUGCUGUGACCUAGAGAAGACACACUGGGUGGGCAACCACAGAGAACCCUAAAC